UCUCAGCCUUGUUCCGUCAGAAAACUGUGAUACAGCAUUUUCGCAGUUGCAAUCCCAUGUCCUGGUCUGCUGCGACUGUGGCAAUAAUGAUGCUGUAUGUCUGGUGCUUCUUACAUGGUGCCUCACUGAUCCUGCCAUUUGGGACGUGCACUGCAGGAAGCUCUAGCUGCUUCAGGACUCCAGGUCAUCAAGACUUGAUGAAAAAUAAUGAAUCUAACCCUGAUUAUUUUGGAAAAUGA
rnacentral:lncRNA from 1 species